rnacentral:rRNA from 1 species
UUUCUUUCAAAUGGCUAUGUUUUCAUAUACACUAUAAAGUUACAGAAUGUCUUUUAAAGAUUGUCGCUCGCGCGCAGUCAUUAAACCUAUACAACUUUCAGCAACGGAUCUCUUGGCUCUCCCAUCGAUGAAGAACGCAGCGAAAUGCGAUAAGUAAUGUGAAUUGCAGAAUUCAGUGAAUCAUCGAAUCUUUGAACGCACCUUGCGCCCUUUGGUAUUCCGAAGGGCAUGCCUGUUUGAGUGUCAUUAAAUUAUCAACCUUGCUCGUUUUCGAGUAAGGCUUGGAUGUGAGGGCUUGCUGGCUUCCUUCAGUGGAUGGUCUGCUCCCUUUAAAUGCAUUAGUGGGAUCUCUUGUGGACCGUCACUUGGYGUGAUAAUUAUCUAUACCUCGUCGACUUUGAAGCAAAAUUAUGGGAACCUGCUUAUAACCGUCUCGCAAGGGACAAUAUCUCUGACAUUUUGACCUCAAAUCAGGUAGA